rnacentral:rRNA from 1 species
AUUGAACGCUGGCGGCAUGCUUUACACAUGCAAGUCGAACGGCAGCGCGGGCUUCGGCCUGGCGGCGAGUGGCGAACGGGUGAGUAAUACAUCGGAACGUGCCCAGUAGUGGGGGAUAGCUCGGCGAAAGCCGGAUUAAUACCGCAUACGACCUGAGGGUGAAAGCGGGGGAUCUUCGGACCUCGCGCUAUUGGAGCGGCCGAUGGCAGAUUAGCUAGUUGGUGGGGUAAAGGCCUACCAAGGCGACGAUCUGUAGCUGGUCUGAGAGGACGACCAGCCACACUGGGACUGGGACACGGCCCAGACUCCUACGGGAGGCAGCAGUGGGGAAUUUUGGGCAAUGGGCGAAAGCCUGAUCCAGCAAUGCCGCGUGUGUGAUGAAGGCCUUCGGGUUGUAAAGCACUUUUGGCGGGAACGAAAAGGACUGUGCCAAUACCACGGUUCGAUGACGGUACCCGCAGAAUAAGCACCGGCUAACUACGUG